rnacentral:rRNA from 1 species
CAAUAGCGUAUAUUAACGUUGUUGCAGUUAAAAAGCUCGUAGUUGGAUUUCUGGUUGAAGCGACCGGUCGGGCGUUGAUUCGUCUGCACUGGAGUCGGUUUUGGCCAUCCUCUAGGAAAGUGCGUCUGGUAUUAAGUUAUCGGGCGUAUGAUCCUGGUCUUUUACUGUGAAAAAAUUAGAGUGUUUAAAGCAGGCCUUCGCCUUGAAUACAUUAGCAUGGAAUAAUAAGAUAGGACUUUGGUCUAUUUUGUUGGUUUGCAGACCGAAGUAAUGAUUAAUAGGGAUAGUUGGGGGUAUUUAUAUUCCGAUGUCAGAGGUGAAAUUCUUAGAUUUUCGGAAGAUAAACUUAUGCGAAAGCAUUUACCAAGGAUGUUUUCAUUA